CCCCACCUCAGGUCCCGUCCCGGCCUAACCGCGCACCUCCCAGCGUGCCCAGAAUUACAAUCAGUGACCAAUGAGGACUAACGCUUCUGUGGUCCCUGAGCUCACGGGCCAGAAGACGACACCAAACCCCCCCGAAGGGUAAUAAACUUUCCCAUAGUUCCACAGUCCUUAUUCCACAUGAGUCUUUCCCUCUCUGAAUCACGAGUCUCUUACUGUAUGUAGGCUGAGAAAGUCACUGACAGUAAAGUUGCACACUUCUUUAAACCAGCUUUAAAGCUUCAUGUAAACAUGAAGUCAUUAAGUCAACACUAUAAUAACUUGCACUUAAGCCACAGUUAAAUGUCUGAAUGUCAUUACAUUCAAUAGGGACAAGGGUUUUUCACAGGGGUGUUUAUGAAAACUGAUUCAAAUGAAUCAUAUAUGGUUCAUAUAAUGAUUCACUUUUUCGAAGCGCACGCUGGCGACACCUGCUGGUCGAAACGGUGUAAAUGCAACGAGAACAUAGCACAAUAAGAUAUGACGACGCCUUACAAACCAAUCCAUUUCUUCAUGUGUACUCGAUUAAAUAUAGUCUACAAAUGAUUCAAUAUUAAGUCUAUGUAUAUUUUGUGUUCUAUUAUUAAUUUAUAGUCCUUUGUGUGUUUUUGAGAGAGUUCGAUCAGGCCGAUUAGAGACACGUAUACAUACUUCAUCAACGCUGCUCUUAAAUUAUAAACAUCAGUAAAACAGACACUGGUUCAUGUGUUCACUGAGCUCUUUCAUCGAAACGUUCGUAAUGAAUCACAUGAGUCACUGAUUCAAAUCAAAAGAUUCGAAUCUUCACGCAGCAGUGAUUUGAAAGCGCCCAUCACUAAAGCAAAAUACGUCCGAGUUUAGACUAGUUUAAAUCAGCUUUUAUAACCAUUAAACACUUUGUUUGACAGUUCAUAAUGUUAUUUACUGCACGGCGGCAGAGAAUAAUCCGAGUCUUACCUGUUGUCGAGUCGAUACAAGCUCCUAAUGUUUCCUCAUAUGACAUUUAAACCGGGCUUAGGUAGAAAACACACAAAGUGUGUGUGUGCGCCAUCGUCUCCUGAGGUAAUUCCAACUUAAAACAAAUAAAAAUAUCAAUUAAAA